AGAGGGGGCAAGCGGUGAUGAU
rnacentral:siRNA from 1 species